UGGGGUGUAGCUUAGUGGUAAAGAAUUUGCCUAGCAUGCUUGAGGCUUUGGGUUUGAUCCCUAGCACUGCAA
rfam:Heterocephalus glaber contig25581, whole genome shotgun sequence.